GAUGAACGCUGGCGGCGUGCCUAAUACAUGCAAGUCGAGCGAACAGACGAGGAGCUUGCUCCUCUGACGUUAGCGGCGGACGGGUGAGUAACACGUGGAUAACCUACCCAUAAGACUGGGAUAACUUCGGGAAACCGGAGCUAAUACCGGAUAAUAUAUUGAACCGCAUGGUUCAAUAGUGAAAGACGGUUUUGCUGUGACUUAUAGAUGGAUCCGCGCCGCAUUAGCUAGUUGGUAAGGUAACGGCUUACCAAGGCAACGAUGCGUAGCCGACCUGAGAGGGUGAUCGGCCACACUGGAACUGAGACACGGUCCAGACUCCUACGGGAGGCAGCAGUAGGGAAUCUUCCGCAAUGGGCGAAAGCUUGACGGAGCAACGCCGCGUGAGUGAUGAAGGUCUUCGGAUCGUAAAACUCUGUUAUUAGGGAAGAACAAAUGUGUAAGUAACUAUGCACGUCUUGACGGUACCUAAUCAGAAAGCCACGGCUAACUACGUG
rnacentral:rRNA from 1 species